GAUGAAGAACGUAGCGAAAUGCGAUAAGUAAUGUGAAUUGCAGAAUUCAGUGAAUCAUCGAAUCUUUGAACGCACAUUGCGCCCGCCAGUAUUCUGGCGGGCAUGCCUGUUCGAGCGUCAUUUCAACCAUCAAGCCCCCGGCUUGUGUUGGGGACCUGCGGCUGCCGCAGGCCCUGAAAACCAGUGGCGGGCUCGCUGUCACACCGAGCGUAGUAGAUUUUAUCUCGCUCUGGGCGUGCUGCGGGUUCCGGCCGUUAAACCACCCUUUUAGCCCAAGGUUGACCUCGGAUCAGGUAGGAAGACCCGCUGAACUUAAGCAUAUCAAUAAGCGGAGGA
rnacentral:misc_RNA from 1 species